UCCAGCCUGGGUGACAGAGCAAGGCUCUGUCUCAAUGAAAAUAAAAUAAAAGAGCAGGUUUCCACACCUGUGAUUCUUAAUAAACUUCAUUAAAUAGCAAUGUCUAAUUAUUUUGUUAUAUAGCAAUAUUUUGUCAGCAACGUUGAUUGGAUUCCAACAAAUCUUCUUUCAACAACAGAUAAAGAAAUGCAAUAUUUCACUGUUAUGCAUUUUUCUAAUGUAUAAUGUCAGUCUUUUUUUCUCAAGUAGUAAUUAAAACUUGCUUUGAAAAAUACCAGUGUAACCUAAAACUAUUAUAUUCCUUAAAGUACUUAGAUUAAGGAGGAGGCAAGAAAACAGCAUAGGAACUACAAGGGAUUGCAUUCCAGACAGACAUGGUCCUGGCUUCUGCAUCUGUCUCUUGGUAGCUUUGUGACUGGUUGAAAUGCUUAAUCUCACCUUGUUUUAAAUGAGAUAAAAUGAGGAAAACAGCAUUUACCUCACAGUCUGAUAGGAGAGGUAAUAACAUAAUGCAUUUAAAUUAUGUAGAACAGUGUGAGUAUUAUGAUAGAUGCCUAAUAAAUGUUAAUUCCCCUUCUUCUCUUUGUUUUACUUUCUUUUACUUCUCCAUCCCUAAUUUUCUGAUCAUAACACUUCCAGGACAAAAGCAGCAAGGCGGAAAUACUAAGACAGUUAAGAAGAUCCAGUGAGAAAAACUCAUAUAGAGAAGACAAGAUUGUUGAAAAUUCUAAUCAUUUCACUGAAACUGAUGUUUGCUCGAAACAAAUAUUACUCAUAAAAAUGGCUGCUGUGGUUUAUUUAGGAAGCAAAGUGUAAUAUUUACAAGGGCAGAGAGGGUAGCAUGAGAAUGAAGAGAGCUAGUGAAAUCUGACCUUUGGUGAGCUGGCACUGUUUAGUAAAUCUUCCUUCCCUCAGUGAAAGGGAUUAGCUUCCAGUACAGUUAAUUCCACCUGGAAGAGAAAUAUCAGAGCUUUAGCCCUGAGGGAUAUUGCUCUACAAGCCCAGGUUCUUUUCAGAUUAUUCUGGUUGAUUAAACAAACAGGGAAAUAACCCUUUUAAGUUUGUACAUAUAUUAGGAAUCGGAGUAGGCAUAUAAGCAUCACUGUACAACCAACAAAAAGUAUGUCAAAGCAACAUACAAUUUAAAUUAAUGUAGUUGUAAAUAAUAAUGGUUAUUUUUCAAAUGAUCUAUUUGAUUGGUAUACGUGCUUUUUCACUCUUGUCCCACCAGUGCCAUUAGCUCUAAGGAAAGGACUGUAGACUACACUCACUGCUGAUGUUUAGAUUAUGAAGGGAAAGAAACAAUAGAGAAGAUAAGAAUGGAAUUUUAAACAGCAGAGGACUAAGAAGACAGGGCAGUAUGUAUUAUGUUGUUACGUUCCCAGGAUGUAGGUCUGGAAAACUAAUGAUAAUUUUUUGGUUUAGGAGCUAAUAUCAAAUUUGUUCAGUGAAAUUUAUAGAAUGAAAGACUUUUAGGGCUGCUAAGAGGGCUAAUAAGUCAUAUAGUUUAGAAUUCUCAGAAAGUUAAAAACCUUAUGAGAAAUUUCCAUUGGCUCAAAUCAGA